rnacentral:lncRNA from 1 species
GGAACCUUUGGUCUUCGACUUGUCAGCCGUUGGCUAGUUGAUGAGGAACGUUUUCCUUCUACCGUCAGCUUCCUUGUCACGAAGCCCCAGUACACAGUUGUAUAUCCUAGUUAUAAGUCCUUCUAGUUCUUCUAUGUGGGACGCCACCACAGCAUGGCUUGAUGAGUGAUGUGUAGGUCCACACCCAGGAUCCAAACCCUCAAAUUGUGGGGCCACUGAAGUGAAACACGCGAACUUAACCACUACACCACUCGUCGGCCCCAACCUGCUGCAUUUCUGAAUGCCCACCCAAGAGGCCCACCAAGCUUCCACAGUGGCCACUAAGUGGACGAGGGAGUGGCCCAGGCAUGCAGCUUUUCCUGCUGGAGAAGACUGUUCACAGGUUGCUCGGCCCUUUGGAACCCCAAACCAAGGCCCCUUCAGAUCAGGUGGAGGAAGAAAGAGGCCCAGAAAUGAACCCUGAGCAUCCUGGGUACAGCUAUCCCUUACUCUCAGUGAAGGCGCUGUGUCGGGCUCUUUGCUCUUUCCGUGCACACCCAGGGUGUGUCCUACCAGGACUGCUCCACUUCUGUCCCCAGACUAGGUGCCUCUGUGGCAGUGAGGUCAUGGCCACAUCCAGGGAGGAGCCGAUGUGUGAUGGGCUGUUCCCCCAGAGCAGCUGCUGCAACAACAUUUACUUUGUACAACGGCCAAGAGAGAGUGCGAGGGAGCAAGCGCGAGUGAGCACGCACGAGCCUUCCCCAUUCCAAAAUGUUUCUGACAAAAUCUGGCACUCCUGGUUCUAAUCAAAAUACUGAACUUUGGAACAAAUUAACAUUCCACAGCACUCGCAGCGAAGGAGAAUUCAG